CUUCUCUUAGGCUCACAGCUGCUAAAGGCACCCGACCCUGUUCCAGUCCCAGGCCUCAAUUGCAGAGUCAUGUGUAUUUCAGGUGAGCAAAUAUUGCCACUUGUUUGAGAGUUCAGUGCCUGCCCCUUUCAGAUGUUGCGUAUUGCAGUCACUCAAAGGAAGUAGGUGUGAGGACAUGGGAGCUCCUCUCAACACAGCUGGAGCUGUUCAAUCUGUCCAACCACACACCGCGUCUUAAACAGCAGCCUCUUUGUAGUACAGAGACUGACUCAAGGAGGAUACAUCACACAGACCACCCCAGUGCUGACAGGGGACUGCAACCUGAUCUGCUGUUCAAGGCCAGACUGGAAGCAGACAGCACCUGACUGUGCACAUCUACAGGUUCUUACAGUGCUAAAUGAGAGAGAGAGAGCGAAAAGUCUAGUGUUUGGGGUGAGCCAAGCUGCCUGAUGGCCAGUGGUUACACAAUUGCAUCCAGCUGCUGCUAACUGCAUGUGACGUGUUGCCGCUUUUACCGAGUAGUGAACCUAACCCAGCAUGCAUGCUGACACGCACACAGCACAUGCUAGCAUCAUAUACCAUACCUCAGAAACCAAAGAAGUGCUCUUAAAAUGUGUGGUCUGGUGGCUGCAAAGACCAAGAAUUUAUCAAUAUCUUUCAUGUAAAUUCUAAAUUACAUAGCCCAACCAACAAGUCAGCCAUACAACUAUAGGGACUAGACGUAACAUCUAGGAUUCAGUGUACACAGUACUUCA
ensembl:lncRNA